UGGGGAAUAUUGGACAAUGGGCGCAAGCCUGAUCCAGCCAUGCCGCGUGAGUGAUGAAGGCCCUAGGGCUGUAAAGCUCUUUCACCGGUGAAGAUAAUGACGGCAACCGGAGAAGAAGCCCCGGCUAACUUCGUGCCAGCAGCCGCGGCAAUACGAAGGGGGCUAGCGUUGUUCGGAUUUACUGGGCGUAAAGCGCACGUAGGCGGACUUUUAAGUCAGGGGUGAAAUCCCUGGGCUCAACCCCGGAACUGCCUUUGAUACUGGAAGUCUUGAGUAUGGUAGAGGUGAGUGGAAUUCCGAGUGUAGAGGUGAAAUUCGUAGAUAUUCGGAGGAACACCAGUGGCGAAGGCGGCUCACUGGACCAUUACUGACGCUGAGGUGCAAAAACGUAGGGAGCAAACAGG
rnacentral:rRNA from 1 species